GCAGACUUACUCUGCACCCGACUUCAGCCCCAGGCGGUGCUUUUUCUGUCUGUCAGAGAAACAUUCCAGGUUCUGUGGCCACCUGACCUGACAAGGGCAAUGCAGCCACCUGGGGAUACAUGC
rnacentral:snoRNA from 1 species